UAAAAUUACAUCAUUAUGUAAUUAAUUUUAUGUAAUGAAUGUUUUUAUCCUUUUACUUUGAAAAAAUUAGAGUGUUCAUAGCAGGCAAUAAUUUUAUGCUUUGAAUAUUUUAGCAUCGGAUAAUAGAAUAUGACUCUUUCUUCUAUUUUAUUGGUUUUUUAGAAGAAAAGGAAAAUGAGUUUUACUUAUUUUCUAGAGUAAUGAUAAAUAGAAAUAGUUGGGGGUGUUUAUAUUUCAUUGUCAGAGGUGAAAUUCUUGGAUUUAUGAAAGAUAAACUUGUGCGAAAGCAUUCAUCAAGAAUAUUUUCAUGUGACAAAGAACGAAAGUUAGAGGCUUGAAGAUGAUCAGAUACCGUCGUAAUUCUAACAGUAAACGAUGCCGACCAGGGAUUAGAGAGAGUGUCAAACGGAAAGUAACUUUAUGUUAUAUUCUAUAACUUCUUUAGAACCUUUGAGAGAAAUCAUUGAGUUUUUGGGUUCUGGGGGAAGUAUGGUCGCAAGGCUGAAACUUAAAAGAAUUGACGGAAGGGCACACCCGGAGUGGAGCCUGCGGUUUAAUUUGACUCAACACGGGGGAAACUCACCAGGUCCAGACAUAGUGAGGAUUGACAGAUUGAGAGCUCUUUCUUGAUUCUAUGGGUGGUGGUGCAUGGGCCGUUCUUAGUUGGUGGAUUGAUCUGUCUGGUUAAUUCCGAUAACGAACGAGACCCCAACCUGCUAAAUAGUGGUACAUAAUAAUGAAAUAUGGGUGAAAGGUAUUUUAGAAUAGAGG
rnacentral:rRNA from 1 species